rfam:Gossypium hirsutum cultivar TM-1 chromosome 4, whole genome shotgun sequence
AUCCCAUGAUGAGGACACUUAAGAAGUAACUCCUUUAAUCGCUCUAAAGCCUCAUACAAAGACUCGUCAUCCAAUUGUUGAAAGUUAUGAUCUCAUUCCUUAACUU